rnacentral:rRNA from 2 species
CCGAAGCGGGGGAUAACAUUUGGAAACAAGUGCUAAUACCGCAUAAUUAGUUGGAACCGCAUGGUUCCAACUUGAAAGAUGGCUCUGCUAUCACUUUGGGAUGGACCCGCGCCGUAUUAGUUAGUUGGUGAGAUAAAAGCCCACCAAGACGAUGAUACGUAGCCGACCUGAGAGGGUAAUCGGCCACAUUGGGACUGAGACACGGCCCAGACUCCUACGGGAGGCAGCAGUAGGGAAUCUUCCACAAUGGACGAAAGUCUGAUGGAGCAACGCCGCGUGAGUGAUGAAGGUUUUCGGAUCGUAAAACUCUGUUGUUAAAGAAGAACAAGUGUUAGAGUAACUGUUAACACUUUGACGGUAUUUAACCAGAAAGCCACGGCUAACUACGUGCCAGCAGCCGCGGUAAUACGUAGGUGGCAAGCGUUGUCCGGAUUUAUUGGGCGUAAAGCGAGCGCAGGCGGUUUUGUAAGUCUGCUGUGAAAGCCCUCAGCUCAACUGAGGAAGUGCAGUGGAAACUACAAAACUUGAGUACAGAAGAGGAAAGUGGAACUCCAUGUGUAGCGGUGAAAUGCGUAGAUAUAUGGAAGAACACCCAGUGGCGAAGGCGGCUUUCUGGUCUGUUACUGACGCUGAAGGCUCGAAAGCAUGGGUAGCGAACAGGAUUAGAUACCCUGGUAGUCCAUGCCGUAAACGAUG